rnacentral:rRNA from 1 species
UAGGGAAUCUUCCGCAAUGGGCGAAAGCCUGACGGAGCAACGCCGCGUGAGUGAUGAAGGUCUUCGGAUCGUAAAACUCUGUUAUUAGGGAAGAACAUAUGUGUAAGUAACUGUGCACAUCUUGACGGUACCUAAUCAGAAAGCCACGGCUAACUACGUGCCAGCAGCCGCGGUAAUACGUAGGUGGCAAGCGUUAUCCGGAAUUANUUGGGCGUAAAGCGCGCGUAGGCGGUUUUUUAAGUCUGAUGUGAAAGCCCACGGCUCAACCGUGGAGGGUCAUUGGAAACUGGAAAACUUGAGUGCAGAAGAGGAAAGUGGAAUUCCAUGUGUAGCGGUGAAAUGCGCAGAGAUAUGGAGGAACACCAGUGGCGAAGGCGACUUUCUGGUCUGUAACUGACGCUGAUGUGCGAAAGCGUGGGGAUCAAACAGGAUUAGAUACCCUGGUAGUCCACGCCGUAAACGAUGAGUGCUAAGUGUUAGGGGGUUUCCGCCCCUUAGUGCUGCAGCUAACGCAUUAAGCACUCCGCCUGGGGAGUACGACCGCAAGGUU